rnacentral:tRNA from 3 species
GCCAGUGUGGUGAAAUCGGUAGACACAGUUGAUUCAAAAUCAACCGCCUUCGGGUGUGACGGUUCGAGUCCGUCCACUGGCACCA